rnacentral:rRNA from 1 species
GAUUAAGUUAUUAAGGGCGCACGGUGGAUGCCUUGGCACUAGAAGCCAAUGAAGGACGUUACUAACGACGAUAUGCUUUGGGGAGCUGUAAGUAAGCUUUGAUCCAGAGAUUUCCGAAUGGGGAAACCCAGCAUGAGUUAUGUCAUGUUAUCGAUAUGUGAAUACAUAGCAUAUCAGAAGGCACACCCGGAGAACUGAAACAUCUUAGUACCCGGAGGAAGAGAAAGAAAAUUCGAUUCCCUUAGUAGCGGCGAGCGAAACGGGAAGAGCCCAAACCAACAAGCUUGCUUGUUGGGGUUGUAGGACACUCUAUACGGAGUUACAAAGGACGACAUUAGACGAAUCAUCUGGAAAGAUGAAUCAAAGAAGGUAAUAAUCCUGUAGUCGAAAAUGUUGUCUCUCUUGAGUGGAUCCUGAGUACGACGGAGCACGUGAAAUUCCGUCGGAAUCUGGGAGGACCAUCUCCUAAGGCUAAAUACUCUCUAGUGACCGAUAGUGAACCAGUACCGUGAGGGAAAGGUGAAAAGCACCCCGGAAGGGGAGUGAAAUAGAACCUGAAACCGUGUGCUUACAAGUAGUCAGAGCCCGUUAAUGGGUGAUGGCGUGCCUUUUGUAGAAUGAACCGGCGAGUUACGAUUUGAUGCAAGGUUAAGCAGUAAAUGUGGAGCCGUAGCGAAAGCGAGUCUGAAUAGGGCGUUUAGUAUUUGGUCGUAGACCCGAAACCAGGUGAUCUACCCUUGGUCAGGUUGAAGUUCAGGUAACACUGAAUGGAGGACCGAACCGACUUACGUUGAAAAGUGAGCGGAUGAACUGAGGGUAGCGGAGAAAUUCCAAUCGAACCUGGAGAUAGCUGGUUCUCUCCGAAAUAGCUUUAGGGCUAGCCUCAAGUGAUGAUUAUUGGAGGUAGAGCACUGUUUGGACGAGGGGCCCCUCUCGGGUUACCGAAUUCAGACAAACUCCGAAUGCCAAUUAAUUUAACUUGGGAGUCAGAACAUGGGUGAUAAGGUCCGUGUUCGAAAGGGAAACAGCCCAGACCACCAGCUAAGGUCCCAAAAUAUAUGUUAAGUGGAAAAGGAUGUGGCGUUGCCCAGACAACUAGGAUGUUGGCUUAGAAGCAGCCAUCAUUUAAAGAGUGCGUAAUAGCUCACUAGUCGAGUGACACUGCGCCGAAAAUGUACCGGGGCUAAACAUAUUACCGAAGCUGUGGAUUGUCCUUUGGACAAUGGUAGGAGAGCGUUCUAAGGGCGUUGAAGCAUGAUCGUAAGGACAUGUGGAGCGCUUAGAAGUGAGAAUGCCGGUGUGAGUAGCGAAAGACGGGUGAGAAUCCCGUCCACCGAUUGACUAAGGUUUCCAGAGGAAGGCUCGUCCGCUCUGGGUUAGUCGGGUCCUAAGCUGAGGCCGACAGGCGUAGGCGAUGGAUAACAGGUUGAUAUUCCUGUACCACCUAUAAUCGUUUUAAUCGAUGGGGGGACGCAGUAGGAUAGGCGAAGCGUGCGAUUGGAUUGCACGUCUAAGCAGUAAGGCUGAGUAUUAGGCAAAUCCGGUACUCGUUAAGGCUGAGCUGUGAUGGGGAGAAGACAUUGUGUCUUCGAGUCGUUGAUUUCACACUGCCGAGAAAAGCCUCUAGAUAGAAAAUAGGUGCCCGUACCGCAAACCGACACAGGUAGUCAAGAUGAGAAUUCUAAGGUGAGCGAGCGAACUCUCGUUAAGGAACUCGGCAAAAUGACCCCGUAACUUCGGGAGAAGGGGUGCUCUUUAGGGUUAACGCCCAGAAGAGCCGCAGUGAAUAGGCCCAAGCGACUGUUUAUCAAAAACACAGGUCUCUGCUAAACCGUAAGGUGAUGUAUAGGGGCUGACGCCUGCCCGGUGCUGGAAGGUUAAGAGGAGUGGUUAGCUUCUGCGAAGCUACGAAUCGAAGCCCCAGUAAACGGCGGCCGUAACUAUAACGGUCCUAAGGUAGCGAAAUUCCUUGUCGGGUAAGUUCCGACCCGCACGAAAGGCGUAACGAUUUGGGCACUGUCUCAACGAGAGACUCGGUGAAAUCAUAGUACCUGUGAAGAUGCAGGUUACCCGCGACAGGACGGAAAGACCCCGUGGAGCUUUACUGUAGCCUGAUAUUGAAAUUCGGCACAGCUUGUACAGGAUAGGUAGGAGCCUUUGAAACGUGAGCGCUAGCUUACGUGGAGGCGCUGGUGGGAUACUACCCUAGCUGUGUUGGCUUUCUAACCCGCACCACUUAUCGUGGUGGGAGACAGUGUCAGGCGGGCAGUUUGACUGGGGCGGUCGCCUCCUAAAAGGUAACGGAGGCGCUCAAAGGUUCCCUCAGAAUGGUUGGAAAUCAUUCAUAGAGUGUAAAGGCAUAAGGGAGCUUGACUGCGAGACCUACAAGUCGAGCAGGGUCGAAAGACGGACUUAGUGAUCCGGUGGUUCCGCAUGGAAGGGCCAUCGCUCAACGGAUAAAAGCUACCCCGGGGAUAACAGGCUUAUCUCCCCCAAGAGUUCACAUCGACGGGGAGGUUUGGCACCUCGAUGUCGGCUCAUCGCAUCCUGGGGCUGUAGUCGGUCCCAAGGGUUGGGCUGUUCGCCCAUUAAAGCGGUACGCGAGCUGGGUUCAGAACGUCGUGAGACAGUUCGGUCCCUAUCCGUCGUGGGCGUAGGAAAUUUGAGAGGAGCUGUCCUUAGUACGAGAGGACCGGGAUGGACAUACCUCUGGUGUACCAGUUGUCGUGCCAACGGCAUAGCUGGGUAGCUAUGUGUGGACGGGAUAAGUGCUGAAAGCAUCUAAGCAUGAAGCCCCCCUCAAGAUGAGAUUUCCCAACUUCGGUUAUAAGAUCCCUCAAAGAUGAUGAGGUUA